GAGGGGCAGCACAGGUAGCAAUACCGGGUGGCGACCGGCGCACGGGUGAGUAACACGUAUGCAACUUGCCUAUCAGAGGGGGAUAACCCGGCGAAAGUCGGACUAAUACCGCAUGAAGCAGGGGUCCCGCAUGGGGAUAUUUGCUAAAGAUUCAUCGCUGAUAGAUAGGCAUGCGUUCCAUUAGGCAGUUGGCGGGGUAACGGCCCACCAAACCGACGAUGGAUAGGGGUUCUGAGAGGAAGGUCCC
rnacentral:rRNA from 1 species